rnacentral:misc_RNA from 1 species
ACUGUUCCCGUUGUAGGAUCGAUUGGCUUCAGAGGGAUGGCAUCCUUCUUCUCGAGCUUGAUAGGGUGCUUAGACCUGGAGGCUAUUUUGCCUAUUCAUCUCCCGAAGCAUAUGCACAGGAUGAAGAGGAUCUCAGAAUAUGGAAGGAAAUGAGCACGCUUGUUGAAAGAAUGUGUUGGAGAAUUGCUGCCAAACAAAACCAAACUGUUAUAUGGGCCAAGCCUCUAACAAAUGAUUGUUACAUGAACAGAGAGCCAGGUACUCGGCCUCCUCUAUGCAAAUCUGGUGAUGAUCCAGAUGCUGUAUGGGGUGUACCAAUGGAAGCAUGCAUUACUCCUUACUCUGAACAGAAUAAUAGAGAUCAGGGAAGUGGCUUGGCUCCUUGGCCUGCUCGAUCAACUUCACCUCCUCCCCGUCUAGCGGAUUUUGAUUAUUCCAGUGAAAUGUUUGAAAAGGACACGGAGAGUUGGCAGCAUAGGGUUGAUAAUUAUUUCAGCCUUCUAGGUUCGAAGUUAAGGCCAAAUACCAUUAGGAACAUUAUGGAUAUGAAGGCGAACUUGGGUUCGUUCGCAGCUUCUCUCAGAGAUAAGGAUGUUUGGGUGAUGAAUGUGGUAUCACCGGAUGGACCAAACACCCUCAAGAUCAUCUACGACAGAGGCCUGAUAGGCUCCGUGCAUGAUUGGUGUGAGGCAUACUCAACCUAUCCCAGAACAUAUGACCUCCUCCACGCAUGGACUGUCUUUUCCGACAUCGAGAAGAAAGAAUGCAGCCCUGAGGACCUGUUGCUGGAGAUGGAUCGCAUGCUCAGACCCACAGGUUUCAUCAUCAUCAGGGACAAGCAAUCAGUUGUAGAUUUGAUAAAGAAGUAUCUACCUGCAUUGCAC